CACUCUAGAGAGACUGCCAGGGAUAACCUGGAGGAAGGUGGGGAUGACGUCAAAUCAUCAUGCCCCUUAUGCUUAGGGCUACACACGUGCUACAAUGGGUAGUACAGAGGGUUGCCAAGCCGUAAGGCGGAGCUAAUCCCUUAAAGCUACUCUCAGUUCGGAUUGUAGGCUGAAACUCGCCUAAAUGCAGCUGGCGUUACCAGUAAUCGCAGCUCCGAAUGCUGCGGUGAAUGCGUUCCCGGGUCUUGGACACACCGCCCGUCACACCACGGGAGUUGGAGACGCCCGAAGCCGAUUAUCUAACCUUUUGGAAGAAGUCGUCGAAGGUGGAAUCAAUAACUGGGGUGAAGUCGUAACAAGGUAGCCGUAUCGGAAGGUGCGGCUGGAUCACCUCCUUUCUAAGGAGA
rnacentral:rRNA from 1 species